rnacentral:rRNA from 1 species
UGAAACACGGACCAAGGAGUCUAGCAUGUGCGCGAGUCAUUGGGGAACAACUAAACCUAAAGGCGCAAUGAAAGUGAAGGUCCGCCUUGCGCGGACCAAGGGAAGAUGGGCGGCUGUCCAGCGUACAGCGGUCGCCCCGCACUCCCGGGGCGUCUCGUUCUCAUUGCGAGAAGAGGCGCACCAAGAGCGUACACGCUGGGACCCGAAAGAUGGUGAACUAUGCCUGGUCAGGACGAAGUCAGGGGAAACCCUGAUGGAGGUCCGUAGCGAUUCUGACGUGCAAAUCGAUCGUCGGAACUGGGUAUAGGGGCGAAAGACUAAUCGAACCAUCUAGUAGCUGGUUCCCUCCGAAGUUUCCCUCAGGAUAGCUGGCGCUCGUCGCUUACGAGUCUCAUCCGGUAAAGCGAAUGAUUAGAGGCAUUGGGGUCGAAACGGCCUCAACCUAUUCUCAAACUUUAAAUGGGUGAGAUCUCCGGCUUGCUCGAACUUUUGAAGCCGCGAGACUCGAAUCAGAGUGCCAAGUGGGCCAUUUUUGGUAAGCAGAACUGGCGCUGUGGGAUGAACCAAACGCCGAGUUAAAAGCGCCUAAAUCGACGCUUAUGGGAUACCAUGAAAAGGCGUUGGUAACUUAAGACAGCAGGACGGUGGCCAUGGAAGUCGGAAUCCGCUAAGGGAAUGUGU